UCGGCUAAGCAUUUGCCCAGCUUCC
rnacentral:sRNA from 1 species